rnacentral:lncRNA from 1 species
GCCGCAAUCACACAGAGUCACGGCUCUCACGCCCGAUAGGAACGGACUGGACUGUACUGCCCACGCUAACCAAGCAAGAAGCAUUGCAGGUGACAAGAGUCCUCACAUCCAAGUCUGAACCACGGGGUGUCCAGGCUUCUUUCUUUGAGAAUCAGGAUUUCUGACAACGCACACAAACCAGGAGAGAUGCCCGUGAGCCCCGUGCAUCGCCCUGGCAGACAGCAGCAGCAUUACUGACACCAAAGUUCCUUUCAGACAAGCCCAGUCAAGCAGCAGAGGCCGCGUUGCGCAAGCAGAGCUGCUGCUCCAUCCUGUCCUGGGCCAAGCAGGUGAGGCACGUUGCUAGGAGUGGGUCCUUGCCAUCACUGGGAGCAUUCCUUCAAGACCACAUCCUCUCCCGCAUCUACAAGUACCACAACAGCUCAAAAAAACCUGCAGGAAAGGUAGAGCAAGUGUGGUGCACACACAGCUCAUCCCUGCAACAGGACACAGCCCAUGGCCAUCCUCUCCCACGCUGCCAGAUCGUGUUGGGGAAACACUUCAGUUGUGGUCUGCCUAAAGAAAUUCUGCAAGAUUUGGUGCCUUGAUUUUCUGCGAGGAAAUUUUUUCUUUUCCAGCCAAAAGCGAAUCCUGCACCUUUCAGUGUCAUUUCAGCUGAAGCCUGAGAAGCACUGACUUGCAGAGGCAACAAUCAAAGCUGGCUACUACUUGACUGCCCUGCCUUGGCAAACACCUGGUCCAAUUCAUGCUUUGUUGCUGUCCUGGCAACAAACUAACCCGUGACAGUUCUUUGUGUACUUUUUUUACUUGUUUUAUUGAGGAUUAAUUACUGUUUGUAUAGUGACACAGCUAUCUGGUGCUCCAUGGGCACAGCUGAAGGCAAAGGCCUUUGGGCUGUGCUGUGGUUUCCUAAUUCCUGUGUUAUGGCUACUGUAAUGCAUAUCCUCAAAGUGAAACAAACAUUUCUGACUGAUUUAUGACUUUUGACUGUCAGUUUUCUUAUGCUAGAGGAAGGAGAGAAGAUGCAAUAUCAAACCCAAGCUGCAAUACUUGAAGAGUUAUUUCAAGUCCCCUGUUCAUCACUUGAGGUUCUUGUGCAUGCUGUGAAAUUCACCAGAAAAAAUCUCACGGAUCCUUGAUCAUUUAUGCCUUGGAGAACGCCAUCCUACAUUAUCUCUCCAAGUUCUUACUGACUUCACCCUACCAUGAAUCAUAGGGCUCCUCAUCCCAGCAUACCCAGCACUGCAGGCAUGCCAGGCUGUGUCAAACACAGCACAGGUCCCAGCCCAAGGUGCUUGUUUUCACUCAAAUUACACAUUUCAUAACUUGCCUGUAAAGCACUUUGAAGAUACGACAGUGUUGGUAACACAAAAUGGUAUUGUUGGACAGGUUUAACAUGAG